GACGAACGCUGGCGGCGUGCUUAACACAUGCAAGUCGAACGGAAAGGCCCUGCUUUUGUGGGGUGCUCGAGUGGCGAACGGGUGAGUAACACGUGACUAACCUGCCCUUGACUUUGGGAUAACUUCAGGAAACUGGGGCUAAUACCGGAUAGGAGCUCCUGCUGCAUGGUGGGGGUUGGAAAGUUUCGGCGGUUGGGGAUGGACUCGCGGCUUAUCAGCUUGUUGGUGGGGUAGUGGCUUACCAAGGCUUUGACGGGUAGCCGGCCUGAGAGGGUGACCGGCCACAUUGGGACUGAGAUACGGCCCAGACUCCUACGGGAGGCAGCGGUGGGAAAUAUUGCACAAUGGGCGGAAGCCUGAUGCAGCAACGCCGCGUGCGGGAUGACGGCCUUCGGGUUGUAAACCGCUUUCGCCUGUGACGAAGCGUGAGUGACGGUAAUGGGUAAAGAAGCACCGGCUAACUACGUG
rnacentral:rRNA from 1 species